rnacentral:rRNA from 1 species
AAGUCGUAACAAGGUUUCCGUAGGUGAACCUGCGGAAGGAUCAUUACUAGUUUAGGGUAUUCUGUGCCCAAACUUCAACCCUAUGAUUUACCAACUUGUUUCUUUGCCGGCGUCAAGCCGGCAAAAGGAUUCUCAAACUCAUUGAUGAAAAAUUGCAAUCUGAAAAUUUGAUCAAAAAUCAAAAGCAAAACUUUCAACAACGGAUCUCUUGGUUCUGGCAUCGAUGAAGAACGCAGCGAAAUGCGAUAAGUAAUGUGAAUUGCAGAAUUCAGUGAAUCAUCGAAUUUUUGAACGCAUAUUGCGCCCUUUGGCAUUCCGAAGGGCAUGCCUGUUCGAGCGUCAUUGCAACUCUCAAACCCAGGUUUGAUGUUGGGCCUUGUCGUCAAGACAUGCCUUAAAUUUAGUGAUGGUAACCUCUCUCCACAGGCGCACAGAUGCUGCCGUGAUGGUGUUUGCAGGUGGCCACUCAACCCCAAAAUUCUGAAUGUUGACCUCGGAUCAGGUAGGGAUACCCGCUGAACUUAA